AUAUUUAUCACAACAUAAGAAAUGCAACGAUUAUUUCGAAAUAUGAUUAUCAACAAUACGAGAAUACAAAUUGUUCAUAAUAAGAACGAAAUACUUAUAUGAGUACUGAUAAAUUAAAAUAUGUAAAAUAUUGUUCAUAUCUAUAUACUUAUAAUUAAAAGAAUGUAUACAGAAUUCUUUUUCAUGUUAAUUAAUGAAACUACUUGGUUCCAUGCCAUCACAUUAGGGUAGUUCAUCUAAGGGGUGUUUUAAGACUUCAUGCGGCGAAAUUAAAAAAUUCUGGCAAAUCUUAUUUUUCCUGAUUUCUUUUCUGCAGAAAAAAUGACAGCCAAAAUAUUGCUUUUUCUUUUCAGAAUCCACAAAUUUUUGCUAUCCUUAUUUCUUUUGUACAAAACAAUCCUAAAGAAACAAGGAUCGCCGUAGUUUUCCAGUUUUGCCGUAUGAGGUCCUCAGUUCGCCCCACUACACCCUUGGAAUAGUUAUUAGAAAUAAACACAAGUUGUAUAUGUCAUUCGUGUUAAAUGUUUAUGAAAUGAGAAUAAUGUUUAAAUAAUGUGAUGAAGUAUCACUUAUGGAUACUUACUCUGCUACAUCUCGGAUGUCCUUUUGGAAAGUCACAGAGUCAAUCACAUAGACAAGUCCUUUUGCAGAUAAUUUAAACUGAUCAAAAUAUUUGUAGCGCAAACGUUCAUGACCAGGUAUAUCAACAAUCUUCAGGAAGCGCUGAAUAUUUAACCAAAUUUAAUGGCCUAUGCUUUUGACGUGUGUGUUUUAACAAAUUUAGAACACAGUAGGCGUGCAUAUAUCAGUGUUUUACCAGCAUCACUGAGACCAGUUAAUAGUAUACUGUUUCCCACGGAUCUUUUCUUGCGCCAUAUGGCAAACAAAACUGAAGAAAGAAAUAAAAUGACAAUUUAUAAACAGCAUAGCAAUGCCUACAUAUAAAUCAUUAGUACCAAAAAGAUUGCACUGCAGAGUUGAAUGUAUGGGUACUGGAAUUGUGGCUUGAACAAACUUUCAUACAAGAAUGCAUCUAUUUUUGUAUUACAUAUAUAAUCAUAAUAUUAUGUUUGUUUCAUUCUUAGUAACAAUUUGUAUAUUGUUUCAUAAUUACUGCAGAUAUUAUGACAUAAAUUUAUUUUAAAUAAACAACACAAUGUUUAUAGGAGUUUACAAAUGGUACUGAGACUGUGUAUGAGAUUCAUAGACAUUAAAAUGACAAACAAUAUUUUCAAAAAUCUGUAUAAGUAUAUAAGAUGUAUAAAUAUGUAAGAAUGUCUUUAAUUGUCCAAAUGAUGUCUAUAAAUCUCAAGUUGUAUAUACAAUUAAAUGUGUAAUUUAUUGGUAAUGUUAGCUAAACAUAUUUUUAGUUUUGCUAAGUACAAAAAGGAACUGUGAUGUUAUUUUGAAUAAUGUGAUAAUAAAUAAGCAGAAAAUACAA